UACGAAGGGGGCUAGCGUUGCUCGGAAUCACUGGGCGUAAAGGGUGCGUAGGCGGGUUUUUAAGUCAGGGGUGAAAUCCUGGAGCUCAACUCCAGAACUGCCUUUGAUACUGAAGAUCUUGAGUCCGGGAGAGGUGAGUGGAACUGCGAGUGUAGAGGUGAAAUUCGUAGAUAUUCGCAAGAACACCAGUGGCGAAGGCGGCUCACUGGCCCGAUACUGACGCUGAGGCACGAAAGCGUGGGGAGCAACAGG
rnacentral:rRNA from 1 species